GCAGCGUCCGCGCUCACGGAGGAGAACCUGCUGUUCCUGGAGGCAUGGCGCGCGGUCGACCGCGCCUACUACGACAAGUCCUUCAAUGGGCAGAGCUGGUUCAGGUACCGCGAGCGCGCCCUCCGCGACGACCCCAUGAACACGCGGCAGGAGACAUAUGCGGCGAUUAAGAAGAUGCUUGCAACACUGAAUGAUCCAUUCACUCGGUUAUUGGAACCCGAGAAAUUCAAGAGUUUGCGGUCUGGCACGCAAGGUGCCCUCACGGGUGUAGGUUUAUCCAUCGGCUACCCAUUGGCCCUUAAAGGAUCACCUGCAGGGCUCUCCGUAAUGUCAGCAGCCCCAGGGGGUCCUGCAGAAAAGGCGGGCAUCGCGUCUGGAGACGUUAUUUUGGCAAUUGACGACACAAGCGCGCAAGACAUGGACAUAUAUGACGCAGCAGAUCGCUUACAGGGUCCUGAAGGAAGCUCAAUAGAUUUGACUAUUCUCAGUGGAGCUGAUACCAGACAUGUUGUUUUGAAGAGAGAAAGAUAUACUUUAAACCCGGUGAGGUCAAGGAUGUGUCAGAUUCCAGGUUCAGAGGACAGCUCAAAGAUUGGUUACAUCAAACUAACAACAUUUAACCAAAAUGCUGCAGGAUCUGUUAGGGAAGCCAUUAAGAAAUUAAGGGAGAACAAUGUAAAGGCCUUUGUGUUGGAUCUGCGGAAUAACAGCGGUGGCCUUUUUCCUGAAGGGAUUGAGAUUGCGAAGAUUUGGAUGGACAAGGGCGUCAUUGUGUAUAUAUGUGACAGCCGUGGUGUCCGUGACAUUUAUGAGGCAGACGGGGCUAGCACGAUUGCUGCAUCAGAACCUUUAGUUGUCCUGGUAAACAAAGGAACUGCAAGCGCAAGUGAGAUCCUUGCUGGGGCACUGAAAGACAACAAGAGGGCAGUGGUGUAUGGGGAACCAACAUAUGGAAAAGGCAAGAUCCAGUCGGUGUUUGCGCUGUCCGAUGGCUCAGGGUUGGCCGUGACGGUGGCGCGCUACGAAACCCCUGCGCAUACUGACAUAGAUAAGGUCGGUGUGACUCCGGACCGUCCAUUGCCGGCAUCGUUCCCGACUGACGAAGAUGGCUUCUGCAGCUGCCUCAGGGACCCAGCUUCUUGCAACCUUAACGCCGCCCGGCUGUUUGUGAGAUCGUGA
rnacentral:rRNA from 1 species